rnacentral:rRNA from 1 species
UACGGAGGGUGUAAGCGUUGUCCGGAAUCACUGGGCGUAAAGGGCGCGUAGGCGGCUCGGUAAGUAGGGGGUGAAAUCCUGCGGCUUAACCGCAGGGCUGCCUUCUAAACUGUCGAGCUUGAGCACGGUAGAGGCAGAUGGAAUUCCCGGUGUAGCGGUGGAAUGCGUAGAGAUCGGGAAGAACAUCAGUGGCGAAGGCGGUCUGCUGGGCCGUUGCUGACGCUGAGGCACGAAGGCCAGGGGAGCAAACGGG